GGUCACCUCUUCGCGCGAGCAGGGAGAUCAGAUCGAGAGCAGGACCUCCUCGCCAGUGAUUUGGAAUGAUAAAUGGGGAAGAGAAGGGGGUGAAGUUACCUGGGCGCUCAGGCAUGACUAAGAGAUAUCGUGAAAUUACAACUCAACAAUGAUUUACAGCACAGGCUUUUCACAACUAAGAGACUGUCCAUCAUGGUGCCAGUUUUUCUCAAAAUGGCAUGUGUGCAUGAAAUUCUACAGGCAUAUGGGGUCGUGAUCUGCUAAUCUCCAGUUAUUAUAACUACUUUGAAAAGGGACUUUCCAGCUAUCAGUACACUAUCUCACAAUUACCCUUGAACCAGAAGACAAUGAAUGAUUUGCUAAACAGAUGGCAUAGUCUAUGACAUGCAUCAUAUGUGUGAGCAAUCACAGAAGACUCCUUCCUGUUGCCUUGUGAAGAAGGCUUCUGCUUUCCCUUCACCUUCUGCGUGAUUGUAAGUUUCCUGAGGCCUCCUAGCCAUGCUUCUUGUUCAGUCUGCGGAACUGUCCUGAGCUGAAAAGAAUAUGAGAAAUGGGAUUUUA
rnacentral:lncRNA from 1 species